rnacentral:misc_RNA from 1 species
GAUGAAGAACGCAGUGAAAUGCGAUAAGUAAUGUGAAUUGCAGAAUUCAGUGAAUCAUCGAAUCUUUGAACGCACAUUGCGCCCGCCAGCAUUCUGGCGGGCAUGCCUGUUCGAGCGUCAUUUCAACCCUCGAGCCCCCCCCGGGGGCCUCGGUGUUGGGGGACGGCACACCAGCCGCCCCCGAAAUGCAGUGGCGACCCCGCCGCAGCCUCCCCUGCGUAGUAGCACACACCUCGCACCGGAGCGCGGAGGCGGUCACGCCGUAAAACGCCCAACUUUCUUAGAGUUGACCUCGGAUCAGGUAGGAAUACCCGCUGAACUUAAGCAUAUCAAUAAGCGGAGGA